rnacentral:rRNA from 1 species
AGUGAACGCUGGCGGUAGGCCUAACACAUGCAAGUCGAACGGCAGCACAGUAAGAGCUUGCUCUUACGGGUGGCGAGUGGCGGACGGGUGAGGAAUACAUCGGAAUCUACUUUUUCGUGGGGGAUAACGUAGGGAAACUUGCGCUAAUACCGCAUACGACCUACGGGUGAAAGCAGUGGAUCUUCGGACCUUGCGCGAUUGAAUGAGCCGAUGUCGGAUUAGCUAGUUGGCGGGGUAAAGGCCCACCAAGGCGACGAUCCGUAGCUGGUCUGAGAGGAUGAUCAGCCACACUGGAACUGAGACACGGUCCAGACUCCUACGGGAGGCAGCAGUGGGGAAUAUUGGACAAUGGGCGCAAGCCUGAUCCAGCCAUACCGCGUGGGUGAAGAAGGCCUUCGGGUUGUAAAGCACUUUUGUUGGGAAAGAAAAGCAGCAGGUUAAUACCCCGCUGUUCUGACGGUACCCAAAGAAUAAGCACCGGCUAACUUCGUG